GUCGAGCGGACUUGAUGAGAAGCUUGCUUCUCUGAUACUUAGCGGCGGACGGGUGAGUAACACGUAGGCAACCUGCCCUCAAGUUUGGGACAACUACCGGAAACGGUAGCUAAUACCGAAUAAUUGUUUUCUUCGCCUGAAGGAAACUGGAAAGACGGAGCAAUCUGUCACUUGGGGAUGGGCCUGCGGCGCAUUAGCUAGUUGGUGAGGUAACGGCUCACCAAGGCGACGAUGCGUAGCCGACCUGAGAGGGUGAUCGGCCACACUGGGACUGAGACACGGCCCAGACUCCUACGGGAGGCAGCAGUAGGGAAUCUUCCGCAAUGGGCGAAAGCCUGACGGAGCAAUGCCGCGUGAGUGAUGAAGGUUUUCGGAUCGUAAAGCUCUGUUGCCAGGGAAGAACGCUUGGGAGAGUAACUGCUCUCAAGGUGACGGUACCUGAGAAGAAAGCCCCGGCUAACUACGUGCCAGCAGCCGCGGUAAUACGUAGGGGGCAAGCGUUGUCCGGAAUUAUUGGGCGUAAAGCGCGCGCAGGCGGUCAUUUAAGUCUGGUGUUUAAUCCCGGGGCUCAACCCCGGAUCGCACUGGAAACUGGGUGACUUGAGUGCAGAAG
rnacentral:rRNA from 1 species